rnacentral:rRNA from 1 species
GACGAACGCUGGCGGCGUGCCUAAUACAUGCAAGUAGAACGCUGAAGGAGGAGCUUGCUUCUCUGGAUGAGUUGCGAACGGGUGAGUAACGCGUAGGUAACCUGCCUGGUAGCGGGGGAUAACUAUUGGAAACGAUAGCUAUACCGCAUAAGAGUAGAUGUUGCAUGACAUUUACUUAAAAGGUGCAAUUGCAUCACUACCAGAUGGACCUGCGUUGUAUUAGCUAGUUGGUGAGGUAACGGCUCACCAAGGCAACGAUACAUAGCCGACCUGAGAGGGUGAUCGGCCACACUGGGACUGAGGCACGGCCCAGACUCCUACGGGAGGCAGCAGUAGGGAAUCUUCGGCAAUGGACGGAAGUCUGACCGAGCAACGCCGCGUGAGUGAAGAAGGUUUUCGGAUCGUAAAGCUCUGUUGUAAGAGAAGAACGAGUGUGAGAGUGGAAAGUUCACACUGUGACGGUAUCUUACCAGAAAGGGACGGCUAACUACGUG